rnacentral:tRNA from 1 species
GGGCCCGUAGCCUAGUUGGAAGGGCGCCGGCCUUCUAAGCCGGAGACCCCGGGUUCAAAUCCCGGCGGGCCCGCCA